rnacentral:rRNA from 1 species
AUGCACGCUGGCGGCGUGCCUAAUACAUGCAAGUCGAGCGAACAGAUGAGGAGCUUGCUCCUCUGACGUUAGCGGCGGACGGGUGAGUAACACGUGGAUAACCUACCUAUAAGACUGGGAUAACUUCGGGAAACCGGAGCUAAUACCGGAUAAUAUAUUGAACCGCAUGGUUCAAUAGUGAAAGACGGUUUUGCUGUCACUUAUAGAUGGAUCCGCGCCGCAUUAGCUAGUUGGUAAGGUAACGGCUUACCAAGGCAACGAUGCGUAGCCGACCUGAGAGGGUGAUCGGCCACACUGGAACUGAGACACGGUCCAGACUCCUACGGGAGGCAGCAGUAGGGAAUCUUCCGCAAUGGGCGAAAGCUUGACGGAGCAACGCCGCGUGAGUGAUGAAGGUCUUCGGAUCGUAAAACUCUGUUAUUAGGGAAGAACAAAUGUGUAAGUAACUAUGCACGUCUUGACGGUACCUAAUCAGAAAGCCACGGCUAACUACG